rnacentral:rRNA from 1 species
GACGAACGCUGGCGGCGUGCUUAACACAUGCAAGUCGAACGGUGAAGCGCCUUCCUUUUUGGUGGGUGUGGAUGAGUGGCGAACGGGUGAGUAACACGUGAGUAACCUGCCCCCUUCUUCUGGAUAACCGCAUGAAAGUGUGGCUAAUACGGGAUAUUCUGGGUCUGUCGCAUGAUGGGUCCGGGAAAGAUAUUGUUUCGGUGGGGGAUGGGCUCGCGGCCUAUCAGCUUGUUGGUGGGGUGAUGGCCUACCAAGGCGGUGACGGGUAGCCGGCCUGAGAGGGUGGACGGUCACACUGGGACUGAGACACGGCCCAGACUCCUACGGGAGGCAGCAGUGGGGAAUAUUGCACAAUGGGCGCAAGCCUGAUGCAGCGACGCCGCGUGAGGGAUGGAGGCCUGCGGGUUGUGAACCUCUUUCGCCAGUGAAGCAGGCCUGCCUCGUUUGUGGGUGGGUUGACGGUAGCUGGAUAAGAAGCGCCGGCUAACUACGUG